CCUACGGGAGGCAGCAGUGGGGAAUAUUGCGCAAUGGGCGAGAGCCUGACGCAGCGACGCCGCGUGAGGGAUGAAGGUCUUCGGAUCGGAAACCUCUGUCAGCAGGGAAGAACGGUCACUGUGCUAAUCAGCAGUGAAUUGACGGUACCUGCAAAGGAAGCACCGGCUAACGCCGUGCCCGGAGCCGCGGUAGUACGGAGGGUGCGAGCGUUAAUCGGAUUUACUGGGCGUAAAGCGCUCGUAGGCGGUAUGUCAAGUCAAGGGUGAAAGCCCCGAGCUCAACGUGGGAACUGCCUUUGAAACUGGCAACCUGGAGUGUGUGAGAGGAUAGUGGAAUUCCAGGUGUAGGGGGGAAAUCCGUAGAUAUCUGGAGGAACAUCAGUGGCGAAGGCGACUAUCUGGCACAUAACUGACGCUGAGGAGCGAAAGCGUGGGUAGCAAACAGGAUUAGAUACCCCUGUAGUC
rnacentral:rRNA from 1 species